GAGAGGAAGAAAGGCAGCACCAAGCCCUUUGGAGCCAGAGGAUACAGCUGGGAGGCAAAGAAAGAUGAACGGGGCCCAAUGGAUUAUUUAGCUUCCUUGCCUCUCCAUGCCUGUGACUACUUUCUUCCAUGAAAGGUGUACCUUUGCAGCAGUUUUGCUGGACAGAGGCAUCUCUUUCAUACACAUGUGCCUCUCCGGCCAAAAAUUUGCUCUCUCUGCACCGAAGCAUUAUAUCACACUGACAUGUCCCAAAUGAUUCCCAAAAACCAGGACCCUCUUCCCCACCGAAGGCCGCUUUGAAGGAAGAAAGAGACACGUGCGAUGAACAUCAUCAGAGCCUGAUGUUCCCCAAUGCAAAGUGGGCAUCUGGCAUCCAAAAUAUUACAUCCAAUUGCCGCUUGGGCCAGACGGUCCUCAUCUGACUAUUCGAGGUGACGGCGGUGUCCAUUGCGGACUGUCAUGGAGCGCAUCGUGAAGGCCCUGACAAAGUGAACUUUACAUCCAGCAGUUGUCCUGAGCUUGAUCUUGGGGUCAGAAGUACAAUGUUUUAAUAGCCAGGGUGGUUUCCCUCCACCUUCUUUCUUUCUCUUCUUGCUCCACGAGGAAUGAUUCACAGACCUUUUAUCUUCUCUAUCAUCUGUUUUUGAAAACAAUGGGACGAUUUGGACAUUUUCAUGGGCGUUUGAUGGCUGGUGGUGGCUUCAGAGGCAGCAUUUCCUCCCAGGUGGAAGAGUUCCCAAAUAGGUUUUCAUGAUCCGAUCUAGGCAAUUGCUUGUGCCAUGAGGAAACACAUGCAAUGGACACACAUAAAACCUUUCUCAUAUGACAUAUUGAAGGAAGCGCCACUAUGGAGGCCAACUACCAUAUCAUUUUUUGGUUCGUAGCACUGGUUUUGGAUUAAGGGCUGACCCACACAACUAUUUUGUUUUUGCUCCCCUCCACUUGUUUUUAAGAUGCAUAGACUGCAGCCUCAUCCCACAAAUAAUUUUUGGGUCAGUUCCCAAGCUGGAGUUAAGACAAGGAAUAGCUGCAAACUGAGUUCGAAAUAUAAAAGUAGUUUGCACACAAUUAACACAAAAGCGACAGGAAGGGGGAGGAGAGGUAGGGAGGAAAUCUCCCUCUUCCCAGUAAGCUUAAGCACAACCAAACUGCUGCAGACUCUCCUAGCUUGUCUGUUCUCAGUAUGCUGUGUCUGUGUGAAUUGCUGUUGUGUGCAUAUGAUUUCACUCUGCAUAGUCUCUAAAUAAAACCCACUUAAUUCAC